GUGGGGAAUCUUCCGCAAUGGGCGCAAGCCUGACGGAGCAACGCCGCGUGAGUGAAGAAGGUUUUCGGAUCGUAAAGCUCUGUUGACAGGGACGAGAGGAUGCAUCAGGAAAUGGGUGUAUUAGGACGGUACCUGUCGAGGAAGCCACGGCUAACUACGUGCCAGCAGCCGCGGUAAUACGUAGGUGGCGAGCGUUGUCCGGAAUUAUUGGGCGUAAAGGGAGCGCAGGUGGGAAGACAAGUCAGUCUUAAAAGUUCGGGGCUCAACCCCGUGAUGGGAUUGAAACUGUUUUUCUUGAGUGCAGGAGAGGAAAGCGGAAUUCCUAGUGUAGCGGUGAAAUGCGUAGAUAUUAGGAGGAACACCAGUGGCGAAGGCGGCUUUCUGGACUGUAACUGACACUGAGGCUCGAAAGCGUGGGGAGCGAACAGG
rnacentral:rRNA from 1 species